CCAAUAGCGUAUAUUAAAGUUGUUGCAGUUAAAAAGCUCGUAGUUGAAUUUCGGGAUCAAUAUAUCGGUCGUGCCAUCGGUACGUACUGGUAUCAUUGGUUUCUCCUUUCUGACGAACCAUGAUGUCAUUAAUUUGGUGUUAUGGGAAGUUAGGACUGUUACUUUGAAAAAAUUAGUGUGUUUAAAGCAGGCUUUAGCUUGAAUACAUUAGCAUGGAAUAAUGAAAUAGGACGUUCGAACCUAUUUUGUUGGUUUCUAGGAUCAACGUAAUGAUUAAUAGGGAUAGUUGGGGGCAUUAGUAUUCAAUUGUCAGAGGUGAAAUUCGUGGAUUUAUUGAAGACUAACUACUGCGAAAGCAUUUGCCAAGGAUGUUUUCAUUAAUCAAGAACGAAAGUUAGGGGAUCGAAGACGAUCAGAUACCGUCGUAGUCUUAACCAUAAACUAUGCCGACUAGGGAUCGGAUGAUGUUAAUUUUUUAAUGACUCAUUCGGCGCCUUACA
rnacentral:misc_RNA from 1 species